rnacentral:rRNA from 1 species
CCCGGGCCUUGUACACACCGCCCGUCACACCACGAAAGUUGGCAAUACCCGAAGCCGGUGGGCUAACCCGCAAGGAGGCAGCCGUCGAAGGUAGGGUUGAUGAUUGGGUG